ACACACACACACACACAGUCAGACACAUACACAGACACAGUCAGACACAAACACACACACACACACACACACACACAUACACAGUCAGACACAAACACACACACACAGUCAGACACACACAGUCAGACACAAACACACACACAAACACACACACAAACACACACAGACACACACAGUCACAUACACACACACAGUCAGACACAAACACACACACACAGUCAGACACAUACACAGACACAAACACAGUCAGACACAAACACACACACAGUCAGACACAUACACAGACACAAACACACACACACACUCACAAACACACACAGUCAGACACAAACACACACAU